GCGCCGGUAGUGUAGCUUGGUAUCACAGAGGCUUGCCAAGCCUCUAACCCGGGUCCAAAUCCCGGCCGGCGCA
rnacentral:tRNA from 1 species